rnacentral:misc_RNA from 1 species
CCGAGUGAGGGCCCUCUGGGUCCAACCUCCCACCCGUGUCUAUCGUACCUUGUUGCUUCGGCGGGCCCGCCUCACGGCCGCCGGGGGGCUUCUGCCCUCUGGCCCGCGCCCGCCGAAGACACCAUUGAACGCUGUCUGAAGAUUGCAGUCUGAGCAAUUAGCUAAAUAAGUU